UGCUAGCUCAGUCGGUAGAGCAUGAGACUCUUAAUCCCCAAAGCCAUGAGUUCGGGCCCCACAUUGGGCAAAA